AUAAGGUUAAGUGAAUAAGGGCGCACGGUGGAUGCCUUGGCACUAGGAGCCGAUGAAGGACGGGACUAACACCGAUAUGCUUUGGGGAGCUGUACGUAAGCUAUGAUCCAGAGAUUUCCGAAUGGGGAAACCCAACAUCUUUUAUAGGAUGUUACGUUUGCGUGAAUACAUAGCGCAUUCGAGGUAGACGCAGAGAACUGAAACAUCUAAGUACCUGCAGGAAGAGAAAGAAAAUUCGAUUCCCUGAGUAGCGGCGAGCGAAACGGGAAAAGCCCAAACCAAUGAGCUUGCUCAUUGGGGUUGUAGGACUCCAAUAUGGUAGUUCUUUCAGAUAAUCGAAUGACUUGGAAAAGUCAGUCAAAGAGGGUAAAAACCCCGUAGAUGAAAUUUGGAAGGCACCUAGGAGGAUCCUGAGUACGGCGGAACACGAGGAAUUCCGUCGGAAUCCGGGAGGACCAUCUCCCAAGGCUAAAUACUCCCUAGUGACCGAUAGUGAACCAGUACCGUGAGGGAAAGGUGAAAAGCACCCCGGAAGGGGAGUGAAAUAGAACCUGAAACCGUGUGCCUACAACAAGUCAAAGCCCGUUAAUGGGUGAUGGCGUGCCUUUUGUAGAAUGAACCGGCGAGUUACGAUUGCAUGCGAGGUUAAGUCGAAGAGACGGAGCCGCAGCGAAAGCGAGUCUGAAUAGGGCGUUUGAGUAUGUAGUCGUAGACCCGAAACCAUGUGAUCUACCCAUGUCCAGGUUGAAGGUGCGGUAAAACGCACUGGAGGACCGAACCCACGUACGUUGAAAAGUGCGGGGAUGAGGUGUGGGUAGCGGAGAAAUUCCAAACGAACUUGGAGAUAGCUGGUUCUCUCCGAAAUAGCUUUAGGGCUAGCCUCGGAUUUGAGAAUGAUGGAGGUAGAGCACUGUUUGGACUAGGGGCCCAUCUCGGGUUACCGAAUUCAGAUAAACUCCGAAUGCCAUUCAUUCAUAUCCGGGAGUCAGACUGUGAGUGAUAAGAUCCAUAGUCGAAAGGGAAACAGCCCAGACCACCAGCUAAGGUCCCAAAAUAUAUGUUAAGUGGAAAAGGAUGUGGGGUUGCACAGACAACUAGGAUGUUGGCUCAGAAGCAGCCACCAUUUAAAGAGUGCGUAAUAGCUCACUAGUCGAGUGACCCUGCGCCGAAAAUGUACCGGGGCUAAACAUAUUACCGAAGCUGUGGAGUACACCAUUAGGUGUAUUGGUAGGAGAGCGUUCUAAGGGCGUUGAAGGCAGAUCGUGAGGACUGCUGGAGCGCUUAGAAGUGAGAAUGCCGGUAUGAGUAGCGAAAGACAGGUGAGAAUCCUGUCCACCGAAUGACUAAGGUUUCCUGGGGAAGGCUCGUCCGCCCAGGGUUAGUCGGGACCUAAGCCGAGGCCGACAGGCGUAGGCGAUGGACAACAGGUUGAUAUUCCUGUACUCGUUGUUUUUGUUUGAGCAAUGGAGGGACGCAGGAGGCUAAGGAAUGCAGACGAUUGGAAAUGUCUGUCCAAGCAGUAAGUCUUGAUAGGAGUCAAAUGCUUCUGUCUACACGGAUAAGCUGUGAUGGGGAGGGAAAUAAUAGUACCGAAGUUCCUGAUGUCACACUGCCAAGAAAAGCUUCUAGUGAGAAAACAAUGACCCGUACCGCAAACCGACACAGGUAGUCGAGGAGAGAAUCCUAAGGUGAGCGAGAGAACUCUCGUUAAGGAACUCGGCAAAAUGACCCCGUAACUUCGGGAGAAGGGGUGCUGAUCUUUGAUCAGCCGCAGUGAAUAGGCCCAAGCGACUGUUUAUCAAAAACACAGGUCUCUGCAAAAUCGUAAGAUGAAGUAUAGGGGCUGACGCCUGCCCGGUGCUGGAAGGUUAAGAGGAGUGCUUAGCGUAAGCGAAGGUACGAAUUGAAGCCCCAGUAAACGGCGGCCGUAACUAUAACGGUCCUAAGGUAGCGAAAUUCCUUGUCGGGUAAGUUCCGACCCGCACGAAAGGCGUAACGAUUUGGGCACUGUCUCAACGAGAGACUCGGUGAAAUUUUAGUACCUGUGAAGAUGCAGGUUACCCGCGACAGGACGGAAAGACCCCAUGGAGCUUUACUGUAGUUUGAUAUUGAGUGUCUGUACCGCAUGUACAGGAUAGGUAGGAGCCGUAGAAAUCGGAACGCUAGUUUCGAUGGAGGCGCUGGUGGGAUACUACCCCUGCGUUAUGGCCACUCUAACCCGCACCACUGAUCGUGGUGGGAGACAGUGUCAGAUGGGCAGUUUGACUGGGGCGGUCGCCUCCUAAAAGGUAACGGAGGCGCCCAAAGGUUCCCUCAGAAUGGUUGGAAAUCAUUCGAAGAGUGUAAAGGCAGAAGGGAGCUUGACUGCGAGACCAACAAGUCGAGCAGGGACGAAAGUCGGGCUUAGUGAUCCGGUGGUUCCGCAUGGAAGGGCCAUCGCUCAACGGAUAAAAGCUACCCUGGGGAUAACAGGCUUAUCUCCCCAAGAGUCCACAUCGACGGGGAGGUUUGGCACCUCGAUGUCGGCUCGUCGCAUCCUGGGGCUGUAGUCGGUCCCAAGGGUUGGGCUGUUCGCCCAUUAAAGCGGCACGCGAGCUGGGUUCAGAACGUCGUGAGACAGUUCGGUCCCUAUCCGUCGCGGGCGUUGGAAAUUUGAGAGGAGCUGUCCUUAGUACGAGAGGACCGGGAUGGACUUACCGCUGGUGUACCAGUUGUUCUGCCAAGGGCAUUGCUGGGUAGCUAUGUAGGGAAGGGAUAAACGCUGAAAGCAUCUAAGUGUGAAGCCCACCUCAAGAUGAGAUUUCCCAUUUCUUUAAGAAAGUAAGAUCCCUGAGAGAUGAUCAGGUAGAUAGGUCAGGAGUGGAAGGCCAGUGAUGGUUGGAGCGGACUGAUACUAAUCGAUCGAGGACUUAACCAAA
rnacentral:rRNA from 2 species